ensembl:lncRNA
UCUUCUUGUGCUGCAAGGAGGCAGGGGGCUGGACCGCACCCCCUCCUGCUCCUCUGAACUUGGCUGGAGAGCAGAGGCUGAAAAAGAGACCUGGCUCCUGGCCCAACAAAGGAGACAACCCCCAGUCUGAUGCGGGAGGCACAGCCUCAAUCCUAAGGGGAGCCCAGACUUGGGAGGCAUGGCCUCUGCCUUCAGGGAAUUUUCAGUCUGAAAAAUCCUAGCUUUUCUGAGCCUCAUUUUGCCCAUCCAGGAAGUGGGGAUGAUAUUCUAGUUUGCUGUGAACAUUCCGGGAGUUACUAUUGCACAGGAGGACCAGGAUUAACAGGGGCAUCUUAUCCCAUGCAUAGCUACAGCGUUUAGGGUCAUGAUGAUGAUGAUGAUGAUGAUGAUGAUAAUGGGUAAUAUUUACUGAGCACUUACUGGGCCUCAAGCUGAAUGCUAAGUGCAUUCUUUACCCAAUGAUUUCAUUUAAUCCUUCUAAGAACUCUGGGAGGCAGCUACAAUUAUCACUGCUAUUUUGCAAGUGAAGAAAGAGGUUCAGAGAGGUGGAAUUGCCCAAGGUCACAGAGCCAGAGAGGAGGGAGUGGAGGUUUGGCUCUGCUCUUAGGUUUCACAGCAGGCCCUGUGAUUGGGUGAAGAUAGGGGCCUCAAGGUGAACCAAGUGCCGGGCCCGACACUUUUGAAUUUGGGCCUCACCCUGUGAGUCGGCAUCAGGGAGUUAUUCCUGUUUGACAGGAAAGGGUGCUGAGACUCGGAGUGUUGAAGUCAGUCUCCUAAGCAAGUCGGAAGGUCUUCUGAUUCCACGUGGCUAUUUCUGCUGGAGGCGGGUAAGUGUCUUCAGGUCUUUUCAGAACGUAAGCCCUCUCUGGUUCCCUUCCCUACCCCGGGUUGCUAGAACUCUGACUGAAGGUAGGUACAGGUAAGGAGAGGGUGCAGAUUCCCAAGGACUAACUCCCAAUAGCAACUCCAAUGUUAACAGUUGACAUGUGUUGAACCCUUGCUUUGUGGCAGGUGUGAUGCUUAUGUGUGUUUGUGCAGCCUCAGAAUCUUUCUUUUGUUUUGUUUUUCUUCAGGAAGAUUAGCCCUGAGCUAACUACUGCCAAUCCUCCUCUUUUUGCUGAGGAAGACUGGCCCUGAGCUAACAUCCAUGCCCAUCUUCCUCUACUUUAUAUGUGGGACGCCUACCACAGCAUGGAUUGCCAAGCAGUGCCAUGUCUGCACCCGGGAUCUGAACCGGCGAACCCGGGCCGCCCAAGCGGAACGUGCACACUUAACCACUGUGCCACUGGGCGGCCCCCUAGAAUCUUUCUUUCUUUCUUUUUUUAAAGAUUGGCACCUGAGCUAACAGCUGUUGCCAAUCGUCUUUUUUUCUUCUUUUUCUCCCCAAAUACCCCCAGUACGUAGUUGUAUAUUUUAGUUGUGGGUCCUUCUAGUGUGGCAUGUGGGAUGCCGCCUCAGCGUGGCCUGACGAGCAGUGCCAUGUCCGUGUCCAGGAUAUGAACUGGCAAAACCCCAGGCCACUGAAGCGGAGCAUGCAAACUUAACCUCUCGGCCAAAGGGCUGGCCCCUCAGAAUCUUUCUUAACACAGUGCUUCAGGCAGCUGCUGCUACCCAAUAUGCGUAGGCACAGGAGUUCAGUUCAAAUGAACCAAUAUUAGUGAGCACCUACCAUGAGCCAGGCACUGGCCUGGGCCCGAAGGAUGCAGGGGAGAACCAGGGCAAUAUCCGGGAGGCAGACUGAGAUGACUGUGAUAAUGUAGGGGAGUGGCUAGAUUGUGGGGACGCAGACACGGGGCCCCUAGUGUCAAACUGAGGGGCUAGGAAAAGUUUCUCAGAGGAAGUAAUGUUUAAGCUGAUGACUGAGAGUUCAGUAGGACUUAACCACGCAAAGAAGAAAGGAUGGCGGGGAAGAGUUCUAGGCUGGGAGAAGCCUACAACCACAGAGGCCUGAAGGAGGGAGGAGAACAACCUAUCUGAAGAGCUUAAGUAUGCUAAUGUGGCAGAGGGGGGAGUGGGAGGAGGGAGGGAGAGGGCAGGGCCUCGACUCAGGGCACCCCAGGCCAGGAUAAGAGGUCUAGUCUCGCCCUGCCCUGCGGCACGGGUGCCUACUGAUCCAGCUUCCCACCCCCCUUCCACAUGGAACUUUCCUGUUUGCAAGACCCUCUCACAUCAGUGAGAGUCGCCCAAUACCUCUGAGCAGGAGGUGGAGCAGGGGUCACCACGCCCAUUUUGCAGAUGAAGAAACUGAAUCUCAGAGGUUACAAGGUUGGGCCAUUUUACCUGGCUGGUAAAAAGGGCAUUGGGGCUGGCCCCCAGACCGCUUCAGGCUGGUACUGAGCCAAGGGCCAGCACUAUUUGCAGGACAUCAGUGUGGGUUCUGGGAUGAUGGUAUGAGGUAGGGUAGGAGCACAGUCUGGUUUGGGGAAGCCCUGGGGAUACAGAGGGAGGGUGGGGAUUCCUCCUCCCCAAAGCUCCCAGCUGGAGAGGGUUGCUGCCGCUUCUGUCUUGCAGUCUGUCCCCAGUGACUGGCUGGGGGUGAGUCAGCCUGGAUGAAGUCACCCACUUCCGCGCAGCCUGUGCCCCCUGACCUGGGAGGCGCCUGCCAGGGGCACCAGUCGAGCUGGAGGACGGGUUGGGCAGCUCUCCAGGUCGCUCUGUCACAGCUGAUUUAGGGGGGCUGGAGGUGUCCGGAGCCAUCCGAAGCAGCUGGGCGUCUGGGGCUGCGAGGCCCAUAAGUCAUGCCGCCACCCGCCAUUCCCUGCAGUGCUCCCCGAGAGGUCUGUGAUGAAUCGCCAGGGACUGGGCUCAUCAAAAUCAGUUUAUGCCAAAGGGAAAUUAAUUUCUGUCUCUCUGAGAUGGGGUGUGGGGAAGGGAAGGGCAGCUUCAGAGGCAGGCCUGUGACAGCACUGCAGGGAGGGGACGGGAUCCUACAGGGUGGCCGUCGUGGUCCCUGGCCUAGAGGCCCUGCCCAUUCUACAGAGAGGGUGACUGAGGCUCCAAAGGAGCCUCCUAAUUUGGGGACAAGAACACAGAUUUUGUUUUAUUGUCUCUUUCUCCGCUUCUUCCCUCCCUUCCUCCCUUCCCCACAGGUAAGUAUUUACUGACCACCUGCUGUGUGCCAGGCAUGGUUCUGCGGUGGAGACGCGAUGCUGCAUGAAACACUCACAGUCCUGCACUCAUGGAGCAUACAGUCUGGCUGGGUAAGACAGGCCGACUGGUAAUAGAGAAAUGGGAAAGUAUCAGACGGGGAAGAAUGCUAGGUGAGCAUUAAGAUCGGGUGAUGUGAUCAGGGAAGGCCUCUCUGAAGAGGAGACAGGUAAGCUGACACUUGAGAAGAUAACCCUUCAGCUGUGAGGCAGAUUUUCUGAAAAUCUAGCCCUGUUGGGCUGGGGCUGGGGCUGGGGUCGGAGGUGCACUUCAGGGAAACGAAUCGAAUCAGCAGAUGUAAAGGCAGG